rnacentral:rRNA from 1 species
UUCCGGUUGAUCCCGCCGGAGGCUACCGCUAUUGGAGUUCGAUUAAGCCAUGCGAGUCGCGAGUCUUAGGGACUCGGCGUACCGCUCAGUAACACGUGGGUAACCUGCCCUAUGCUGGGGGAUAACCUCGGGAAACUGAGAAUAAUACCCCAUAGUUCACCACGCCUGGAACGGUGGGUGGAUCAAAGCUCCGGCGGCAUAGGAUGGGCCUGCGGCGUAUCAGGUUGUAGGGGGUGUAAUGUACCCUCUAGCCCUCUACGCGUACGGGUGUUGAGAGACAUCGCCCGGAGAUGGAUUCUGAGACACGAAUCCAGACCCCACGGGGUGCAGCAGGCGCGAAAACUUGGCAAUGCGAGAAAUCGUGACCAGGGAACUCCAAGUGCAUCGGGUAAGACCGAUGCUUUUCUUGACUCUUCAAAGGUCUUGGAAUAAGGGGUGGGUAAGGACGGUGCCAGCCGCCGCGGUAAUACCGGCGCCCCAAGUGGUAGUCGCUUUUAUUGGGCCUAAAACGUCCGUAGCCGGUCUGGUACAUUCGUGGGUAAAUCAACCAGCUCAACUGGUUGAAUUCUGCGAGCACGGCCAGACUUGGGACCGGGAGAGGUGUGGGGUACUCUCAGGGUAGGGGUAAAAUCCUGUCAUCCUGAGAGGACCACCUGUUGCGAAGGCGCCACACUAGAACGGAUCCGACGGUCAGGGACGAAGCCUAGGGGCACGAACCGGAUUAGAUACCCGGGUAGUCCUAGGUGUAAACGCUGUGGACUUGAUGUUGGGGGCGCUCCGAGCGCACUCAGUGUCGAAGCGAAGGUGAUAAGUCCACUGCCUGGGGAGUACGGUCGCAAGGCUGAAACUUAAAGGAAUUGGCGGGGGAGCACCGCAACCUGAGGAUUGUGCGGUUUAAUUGGAAUCAACGCCGGA